AAUUAACUAAGUACAAAUAAAAUAACAAGGUAACCAAUAUAAAUGAUGCAAUAAUAUAGCAGUUCAAUGGGGAUAUUUAUGUUUAAGAACCAAGGUUUGUCUGGAGGAAUUUGGAAAUAAGGUCAAAUUAGUUGUUAAAAUUAAUUAAGGACAGCAAUUGGUCUACAAACAACCAGUCACAAUGCAAAAUCAGAAGGUAAGUAAAACAUUAUUUUAAGAAUUAAAAAUUCAAAGAAUCAUUUGCCAAAUUUCAAGUCAAAACCUUUUUGGAUACUUGAUUCUUUUUUUUCUUUUUUAUCAGCUACCAUUAUCUUAGUAAAAAUAAUAUUUAAGGAAAUAUUUGUUGUAUUAGAAAUCAAUAGUCUUUUUGACAAUUUAUGUUACUAUUAUUUUAAUUAGCCAUCACAUGGAGUAAUGGACAACUAAAAUGCUGGAAAGGAACAUCUAUGGACUGUUACACGAUGGCAACGAGUCGUAUGUAAAUAUUUGACUUUGCUGGUGCAAGUAUUAGCAGUUGAGAUUUUUUACCAACCCUUUAAGUUCCACAUGUGCUUGACGAACCAUUAAUACAAAGAUUAAGAUGUAUAUCACCACCAAUGGCACGUUAAGGGUGAUCUCUGCUUAAACCAGAUUAAAAACUAAAUUACUGUAAAUUCAGGGUUUCCUACAAAAAAAUUCAAACACUUUUCAAGCAUUUUCAAGUUAAAUUUUUUAAACUUUUUGUUCCAAACUUCAGAGCAGUCUUCAUCUCUCCGAGCAUAUAGGCAGAAGGAACCCAAAAGACAUUGUAGGCACAGCACACGACCGAACAUUGCCAGGCCACAGCUACUUUUUGCGUAAAUAAACCAUUAGCUAACCACCUUUACUAGUGUUUUCAGUAAAUUGUUUUGUUGUUGCACAUUUUUAAGUACAGUAGAUGACAUAAAACCCUAGCUUGAUCCACCUUUCAAAACAAUCAAUUUGCAAUUUACCUCCUUCCCACUACAAUGGCUUACCAUUGGAGAGCAACGACUCUCCCAUCAUGAAAGUUGGAGAUCCUUCUUGCAUUUGUUAAAGGAAGCUACUUGAGGAUUUGGUCCUUGUUUCAACCAUGUUUGUGUCUAGUAUAUUCGACCCAGCAAUCAUUAAAAUGGCAACCGCUGGGUAUGCUGUUUUCUCCUACUCACGGUAGACGUGCAUGACGAGCAAGACACGGCUAUGUACUCGAAGCAGGUUUGCUUCAAAACAAUGCCAAUGGACGCUGCCAGUCCAGCAACUGGUCUAUGCUUGAGGUGAUGUCUACUGCUCACAUGCCGGAAUUAUGAAAAGGAGCAAAACCCUCUCUGAGUGGUAGCGAGGCUUUCUGGGACUUCAUUAAAGGCAAAAUUAUCACUCUCUAUUUUGUGCCUUUAACAUAAAAAUAUCAAACUGAAGUUUUUAAUCAAACUGUUAGUGCUUUUUAUUACAAAACGGUGUAGUUAGAAUAUCAAGCAUUUUGAAGGACUCAUAUCAAUCACUUUUCAAACCUUGAAAACACCUUGUUAAAUAUUCAAGCAUUUUCAAGAAUAUCAAGCACCCGUACACACCCUGUGACUUUAAAACAUAACACAGAACAACAGAGUAGCCUCAAGGCUUUGAGGCCUGUUCGUAUUGGCUUCACCAGGUGGCCUUUUUACCACCACAAACAAAGCUAAACACCAUGAAAUAAACAAUAUUUAGAUAGUUUCAUCCUAAACUAAUUUUCUCUGCCCAAACACAACCUCAUUCAUGAACAGGAUGGGAGAUCCAAAGGGCAAUGAAUUACUUCCCAGACGGUGAACAAAGAAUCGUAGUGGCUGCUCUCAGUAGCAGCUGGGGUAGCUUCUAACAGAAGAGUUUGUAUACAUGACAUGUUGUUUAGUCUUAGGAACAAAUCCGUAAAAAAGAUUUUUAAUAAAUUCUCUGUCAUACCACAAAAUUGUUUUAACAUCACUGAGUCAAAUUACAAUAGAUGGACGAAUAUUUCAUCUCAUUAGCCUGAUUUUGUAGACAGCUAAUUGUUGCUGCAUCAGCAACAAGUAAUUCCUUCUUCUCCAUCAGCUGGUCUACCAAGAAACCAUAAAAAAACCAACCAAACUAACACUCCAUAUCAAAGUUUUCCCUCUUUCUUGUAUUGUCAGGUAGUGUGAAACAGAAGCUGGUGUAUGAAACAAAAAAAUCCCUAAACAUAGUCCAUCUUGCUUUUUUAAAUCCAACAUAGUACUGUGAAAAAGUUGUGUUUUCUGUUUGCUUUUGUCACACAUUUCAGAUCAGCCACCAAAAAUAAAUUUUAAAGAGAAACUGAGUAAAUAAAAAGCUGUUAUCGGAUGAUGAUUUCAAGUAUUGAUGCAAGUAAUUACUUCCUAAACCUAGUAACUGGUUGUGACACCCUAGGUCGUAGCAACAGUUGCCAUGAAGCGUUUGAGGUAACUGCCUGAGUCCAUUACAUCGCUGCAGAGAUUUUGGCCCACUGUUGUUUUAAAUUCAGCCACAAUGGAUUGCUAUCCCUUCAUUUCCGGCUGCCUGUUUAAGGUCAUACUACAACAUUUCAAUCAGAUUUAUGUUCAGUCUUUGACUAGGACACUCUAAAACCUUCCUUUUUUAAAGCCAUUUAGAGAUGGACUUGCUGGUGUGCUUUGGAUCACUGUGCUUCUAUUUUCAGAUAAGGCCUCACACAGCUGCUCCUCAUCAAGCAGUGUGGUGGUUGCCUGUGAGGAGAAAAUGUAUCGUUACUUGGACCAACAAGGGUGUUUGGACAAAUGCUUCCCCAAGGGUCCGGACACUGUUUAAAGGUUCCAGGAGAGGCCAUGGGAGAAGGGGGAAGAGUGUGGGGAAUUUUUGUAAAUGGGUUUUUGGUGUUUAUAAUGGUGCUGUGGUAGGUUUAAAGAGAUUAAGUAUUUAUAGUAAUGCAAAAAUGCAUGUAUUUAUGGAAAUGUUCAUUGUCUUGCAAAUGUAUAAAGGCGUUGGUAGACCUCCUGCCUUGAGCCAAUGAUGGUUUAGUCCACAAAUAGCUGAGCCUAUUCUUAGUGAGAGGUGCUUUUUGUAUGAUACUUAUGUAUGGAGACCUGGAUAUGCCAUUAUUGCUCCAAAGAUGAUGAAAUAAAAACCUGCCAAUUCCACCAACCUCUGCCUAAGUUGUCAUCUUCACUGCAAAAUCCAGCCGAGAAAGACCUCCGUGUUACAGUGCUAAAAACUAUGACUCCA